rnacentral:lncRNA from 1 species
UUACAAAUGCAAUACGGUCUUUCUCUAAUCUAAUACUCUUGACCACAUUGUUUGGUUGGAUAGUUUAUUUAUUCAUGUCUACUAUCCAAUGUGAUUCGUGUGCUUAUAUGAUUACCUUGAAUGUGAUUUGGAACGCUUUCCUAAAUCUCAUUCAUACUCUGGCGAGAGGUUCUAAAUCAUAUCAUAGAGUAUUCUCCCUCAAACGAUUUGAAGGUUAGAGAUCCCUUGUUGCGCAUGCACUUGUCUCCAUGACUAAGUGGCUUAACCCCAACGAUGCCGUGGACACCCCGAUGGGGUGACUUUGACAUAAUCAAAGAUUAAGGACUUAACCACAAGACAACUAUGAUGCCUCAGGUCAAAGGACUACUUUGCAUUAUCCCAACCAUGAGUUCUCAUGUGACAUGAAUAUGAGAACUCUUCGUUGAUCGUGUUCAGUGAACUCAUUCUCUAUUGAGCACCUACGUACUUGUCUUGAUGUCACACACACCAAUGACUCGAGACUAGUCACUCUCCCUGAGAGAAGACAUAGCACGUACUGAUCUUAACGGACUGUCAAUGCCCAAUUGGCAAUCCUAUGAUCAGGAACGUUUAGGAUGUGUCUACGAAAGAAUGGUCUCAUGAAUCUAACUUCUUUAGAUUUCAUUCUCCCAAUCACAUAUUCCUUGGACUUAUCGUUUAAGCAUAUAACAUUUAUAUGAGACGGCUUAAAACAAUAAUCUUUGCCCUUGAUAUUAAACUAGAUUAGUUUAACUUGUGAAAUGUCCGUAAAGUAUCAUCAUAUGAUUGGUUUUAGGGCACAUUUCCAACAAUUGUUACAAGCUUUAUUCUUGCUUCUUUGAAUGUAAAUUUUGUUAGAAAAUUUGGCAUCUCAAAUGUUGUAGAUGUAGUUCAUAUGAGCAUGAAUUUUGGAGCUAAAAUUUGGUGCCAUGUUUUUGGGGAAAUUUGGCCAAAUCCGAAGGGUGGAUUUUUGGGUUCAUGUGUUGUCUUGUUAAAAGUGUUUUAAAGUGACAUUAGGAACCCCUAAGUACCCUAGUAUGGUAAUAUGUUUUUUUCCCUUAAGUUUGAGAGUUUUUGGGGUGUCUUUGGGUGAAAAAUGUUCAUGGAGCUCUUAUGGGUUUUCAUGGAUGUUCUUCUUUGUUCUUGUUAUGUUCUAACCAAGAACAAAAAGGUUU